UGGCCUUAAAAUGUCAGCAUACAAUGUUGGCUGAACCAUAUUGCUGGUUCAUUAGGGAAAUUACAAGGCACAAGAUCUUGAAUAAAUAUUGCCUAAAAUUAAUACUAGCAUAAUUAUUUGUCCCACAGUUGUACAUAUAUAUUAAUGAUAUAUAUAAACUACAUCAACCAAAAAAUCUUUUAUCCAAAAGUAAAAAAAGAAUCAUACAAAUAGUAGAGCAGUGACGACAAAUCGUACACUUGUUUUACCCACCCUAUUGGAAGGCUGAUUGUUCUUUGCAAGUCCUCGCCUUCCUAAAUAUUUCUCUAAUCACAAUAGGCUUGCCAUGAGACAAUUACCACACAUCACGCAGAUAUCUUCCGGUCGUUUGCAAAUUCUUCACAAAGCUCUCGGCCUUGGAGCUAUCAAGUGAUCCCUGAUCCUGAGCAAUAGUGUGAAGGGUCCGAUGGACAUCCCUGGCCAUGCCCUUAGCAUCACCACAGACAUAAACAUAACCUCCCUGAGAAAUCAUGUUCCAGAUGUCGUCCGCCUUCUGUGUCAUUUUAUGUUGCACAUAUUCUUUGUUAGGUCCUUCACGUGAGAAGGCAACAACUAGAUUAGAAAGUGCACCGGCCUCAAGGAAGUUAUCUAACUCAUCCUGAUAGAUGUAGUCCAUUUGGCGGUUCCUGCAUCCAAAAAAUAACACUGCAGGACCAAGGUCAGCUCCUUCCUCCUUCAAAGCCAUUCUUUCCUGGAGAAAACCCCUGAAUGGUGCCAAUCCAGUACCAGGGCCAAUCAUUAUGAUUGGAACCUUGUUAUCAGCUGGCAGUUUAAAGUUUGAUUGCCGAACAAAAAUAGGUGCCGUACUGCAGGAAAGGCUUUCUUCUAGAGGAAUAGCAUUCUUCAUCCAUGUUGAGCAGACACCCUUGUGAAUUCGUCCAGUUGGCAUUUUGUCGUAAACCAGUGCACAAGUGACAUGAAUUCUAGAUGCCGCCAUCCUAGGAGAUGAUGAGAUGGAGUAGAAUCUUGGUUGUAGGCGAGGAGCAACAGAAGCAAAGAAAACACCGAUUGAAGGCUUGGCUGAAGGAAAUUCAGCCAUGACUUCAAGAAGGCUUCUCUGACUUGCAACUAUCCACUGAGCAUAUUCUUCCUUUCCAGCAGGUGAUGCUAGAUAUCUUAAUCGAUCAGCUUCAUUUGGAUCAGAAGAACAUGCCGCUAAAGCAAGUAAAGAAGACUUUUUAGGAGAACUCAAAACAUCAGCAUACCGAGUCAAUGCUGUUCUCAAAGUGCAAGGAGGGAAUGGAGAUGGCAAUGAACUUCCACCAAGUGGUGUGCCAUCCUCUUUAUCGGUGUGAAUGGAAAAGAAAGUAUCCGGUGAUAUAUUCAGUAGCCUUUCAGCUUCCUCCACGGUUUCAACAAAAUUUUCACAGUACACACCAACAUGAUCACCAGUUUCGUACGUAAGUCCAGUGCAAGAAAUGUCAAACUCCAGAUGAGUGCAAGAACGAUCAGAAGCUGGAGUAUGAAGCUCCUUCCUCACAGCAACAUUAGCUCUGACAGGAUGUUGAGCAUCAACGAUGACAUGUCCAUUUGCAUGACCAUUUGUGUUGGUCAAGUCGUUAUCAAAGUUGGACUUGUCAUAGGUAACAACCCUAUAUUCCAAAACAGCAGCAGUAUAUGGAGUUGUAGCAGUUGCAUCAUCCCCGUCAAGAAGCAACUUAUCUAAUUCAGGCCACACUAACUCACGCCAUGCAGCAAAAUCAUCUUCAAUGCAUUGAUCAUCAUCACCAAG
rnacentral:misc_RNA from 1 species